AUUGAACGCUGGCGGCAGGCCUAACACAUGCAAGUCGAACGAGUGGCGGACGGGUGAGUAAUGUCUGGGAAACUGCCUGAUGGAGGGGGAUAACUACUGGAAACGGUAGCUAAUACAGCAUACCAUCGGAUGUGCCCAGAUGGGAUUAGCUAGUAGGUGGGGUAAAGGCUCACCUCGGCGACGAUCCCUAGCUGGUCUGAGAGGAUGACCAGCCACACUGGAACUGAGACACGGUCCAGAUUCCUACGGGAGGCAGCAGGGGGGAAUAUUGCACAAUGGGAGCAAGCGUGAUGCAGCAAUGCCGCGGGUAUGAAGAAGGGCUUCGGGGUGUAAAGUACUUUCAGCGGGGAGGGGUUACGCGCAGAAGAAGGACCGGCUAACUCCGGGCCAGCAGCCGCGGUAAUUC
rnacentral:rRNA from 1 species